GGUAUGACCUCAAGCCGGCUAUGUUAGUAAACAUGUAGGUUUAUUUAUUGUCCCUUUAUGGCAUCAAUUUCAGUCGUCUUACAGCUCUUUCAAAAUAUGUUUCGUUAUUGAAAAAUUCUCUUUUAAAAUUUUUUUCUAUGCUGUUCAAUAUGGAUAGAUAAAAGAAGUAUUUGAGACAUGUUAUGCUUCAUUGCUUUAAAAAAGGUAAUAGUGUAAAGGACACUACAAAUGAGAUUUGCACCGUUUAUGGGAAUGAUACUACGACUAUUAGAAUAUUGUCUGUAAUUGAUUUAAGAAAUUUAGAGCUGGCAACUUUGAUUUGAAAAAGAUGAAAACCGCAGCGACCGCCCAGGAAUGACGGAUACGGACCUCAUCAAGAAUAUGCUCGCUGAAAAUCCACGAGAUAGUGGAUGCCACUAACAAUCCCACGACAACGGUACAUAAUCAUUUAAUCAAGAUGAGAUAUGUGAACCGACCUUAUGAACUACAUCUCUACGUGCGAUUUCCUUCUUCAGCAAUAUGAAAAAAAUCCUUUUUUAAAGAUGCUCGUCACUGGAGAUGAGAUUUGGAUUUUAUAUCAAAUUGAAAAUGCACAUUGGUCUAAGGAAAAUCGAUCUUCAACUGUUGUAAAGCUAGGAUUUCAUCCAAAAAAAAAAAAAAAAAGAAAAAAAUUUAUGGGACACCCUAAUAUAUAUACACACACAAAUGUAUAAAAAGAAAUUAUAUUAUUCUGUUAUACCAGUUCGACAAGCGUUCGAUUUUCUUUCGUCAUUUCGCUUAUUCAAAUAUAAAAAAGGAAACAUCGCAAUGGAGGAUUCAGGAAACAAAACCAAAUGGAUUGUCAAUUGAAAAUACAAACUGAAACGAUUAGACCAAAGGCAAAGAAAGCGGAGCCUUCAAAAUCAAAAUCAAUUCAUCCUCCAACUUUUGAAAUAGUAAUUGUCGCUAUUAAAAGAGUUGAAAGAUCGUAAAGGUUCAAGCAAUUAGAAAAUAUAUUGUAGCAACUUAUAUUAGUUGGUAAGAAGAUAUAACGCCGUUUAUAAAGAAAUAUUUGAAGAAUGCUGUAUAUAAUGGUACGUUCGUGCAAACCAAAGAUAAGGGAGAUUCAGGAUCGUUUAAAAGCUUUCACCCGUGGUAAAAAGCGGUAAUGUAAAAGCAAAGGAAAAAUGCAUUACCAAUGGAAAAGAAAACUAUUACCGACGAAUCUAUUGAAAAGAAGAUAAGUGACAGCUCCCAAGACAUCAAUAAGUUUCGUUAAAAAACCUGUCGAUAAAAACAAGUCUUCUAAAGUUGUUACUAAAAACAAAUCUAAAGCUGUUACCACUGUUGCUACUGCUAUUGCUGCUGUCGCUAAAAAAAAAAAAAAGAUUUCGAAAAAAACGGCACAACCGAGAGAACUCUAUCAAAAACUAAGAAGACCAUGAAGGCAUCAGCUAGCAAAACUAAAUCUUCUCCCAAACUGAAGAAAGCAACAACUAGUAUCGUUCCUAAAAAUCCAAAGGUGUCGGAUUGAUAAAGAAAUAUAUUUAUGAGGUAUAUAAUAUCUCAUA